UGGGGAAUUUUGCACAAUGGGGGAAACCCUGAUGCAGCGACGCCGCGUGAUUUAGAAGGCCUUCGGGUUGUAAAAAUCUUUUCUAUGGGAAGAAAAUGACAGUACCAUAGGAAUAAGGACCGGCUAAUUACGUGCCAGCAGCCGCGGUAAUACGUAAGGUCCGAGCGUUGUCCGGAAUCAUUGGGGGUAAAGGGUACGUAGGCGGGUAAGCAAGUUAGAAGUGAAAUCCUAUAGCUCAACUAUAGUAAGCUUUUAAAACUGCUCAUCUUGAGGUAUGGAAGGGAAAGUGGAAUUACUAGUGUAGCGGUGAAAUGCGCAGAUAUUAGGAGGAAUACCGGUGGCGAAGGCGACUUUCUGGCCAUAACCUGACGCUGAGGUACGAAAGCGUGGGUAGCAAACAGG
rnacentral:rRNA from 1 species